GAUGAACGCUAGCGGCAGGCCUAACACAUGCAAGUCGAGGGGCAGCACAGGAAAGUAGUAAUACUUUUGGGUGGCGACCGGCGGACGGGUGCGUAACGCGUAUACAACCUGCCUUCUACUGGGGGAUAAUUCGGAGAAAUCUGGUCUAAUACCCCAUAACAACCGAUGAGGCAUCUCAUUGGUUUAAAAGCUCCGGCGGUAGAAGAUGGGUAUGCGUGACAUUAGAUAGUUGGUGGGGUAACGGCUCACCAAGUCGACGAUGUCUAGGGGGACUGGGAGGUUAACCCACCACACUGCUACUGGGACAAGGACAAGACUCCUACGGGAGGCAGCAGUGAGGAAUAUUGGUCAAUGGACGCAAGUCUGAACCAGCCAUGCCGCGUGCAGGAAGACGGCUCUAUGAGUUGUAAACUGCUUUUGUACGAGGGUAAACCCAGGGACGUGUCCUUGGUUGAAAGGACCGUACGAAUAAGGAUCGGCUAACUCCGUGCCAGCCGCCGCGGUAA
rnacentral:rRNA from 1 species